rnacentral:tRNA from 1 species
GCCUUCAUGGUGUAGUGGUCAGCACGCUCGACGCGUAACCGAGAGGUCAGUGGUUCGAUUCCGGGCGAAGGCG